rnacentral:misc_RNA from 1 species
UUCAGAUUCUUCAUCAUCACAAAGGGGAAGUAGUUUUGAUAGGUCGAGUUCUGUUCAGAGUUUUGGCAAGAGGACAUUGGAUUUGGAGGUUAACGAAGGCAAGUAUAUGUCAAAUUCAUCUCCUGCUCAUGUCAAGUUGGUUAUUACAGAGAAGGAAUUGAAAGAUUGGCGCUUGAAUUCUAUCAAAGAUGAUCAUUUGAACAAGUUUGAAUCGUUUUCCAAG